rnacentral:rRNA from 1 species
AAAUUGAAGAGUUUGAUCAUGGCUCAGAUUGAACGCUGGCGGCAGGCCUAACACAUGCAAGUCGAACGGUAACAGGAAGCAGCUUGCUGCUUCGCUGACAAGUGGCGGACGGGUGAGUAAUGUCUGGGAAACUGCCUGAUGGAGGGGGAUAACUACUGGAAACGGUGGCUAAUACCGCAUGACGUCGCAAGACCAAAGAGGGGGACCUUCGGGCCUCUUGCCAUCAGAUGUGCCCAGAUGGGAUUAGCUUGUUGGUGAGGUAACGGCUCACCAAGGCGACGAUCCCUAGCU